GAUGAAGAACGUAGCGAAAUGCGAUAAGUAGUGUGAAUUGCAGAAUUCAGUGAAUCAUCGAAUCUUUGAACGCACAUUGCGCCCGCCAGUAUUCUGGCGGGCAUGCCUGUCUGAGCGUCAUUUCAACCCUCAUGCCCCUAGGGCGUGGUGUUGGGGAUCGGCCAGCGCCCGCGAGGGACGGCCGGCCCCUAAAUCUAGUGGCGGACCCGUCGUGGCCUCCCCUGCGAAGUAGUGAUAUUCCGCAUAGGAGAGCGACGAGCCCCUGCCGUUAAACCCCCAACUUUCUAAGGUUGACCUCAGAUCAGGUAGGAAUACCCGCUGAACUUAAGCAUAUCAAUAAGCGGAGGA
rnacentral:misc_RNA from 1 species